rnacentral:rRNA from 1 species
AUCCACAGCCAUACCACCCUGAAUGCACCCGAUCUCGUCUGAUCUUGGAAGCUAAGCAGGGUUGGGCCUGGUUGGUACUUGGAAGGAAUACAUUGAGUCUGCAGCUC